rnacentral:rRNA from 1 species
GACGAACGCUGGCGGCGUGCUUAACACAUGCAAGUCGAACGGAAAGGCCCUGCUUGCAGGGUACUCGAGUGGCGAACGGGUGAGUAACACGUGGGUGUUCUGCUCUGCACUUCGGGAUAAGCCUGGGAAACUGGGCCUAAUACCGGAUAGGAGCCAUUUUUAGUGUGAUGGUUGGAAAGUUUUUUCGGUGUAGGAUGAGCUGGCGGCCUAUCAGCUUGUUGGUGGGGUAAUGGCCUACCAAGGCGGCGACGGGUAGCCGGCCUGAGAGGGUGGACGGCCACACUGGGACUGAGGGGCGGCCCAGACGGGUAAGGGUGGCAGCAGGGGGGAAGAUUGCUCAAUGGGCGCAAGCCGGGUGCAGCAGGGCCGCGGGGGGUAUAACGGCCUUAGGGUUGAAGACGCCUUGCGCUAGGAACGAAGCUUUUUGUGACGGUACCUAGAGAAGAAGCACCGGCUAACUACGUG